rnacentral:lncRNA from 1 species
ACAGUGAUCCCAAAAUAACUGGCGAGAGCCCAUUAAAAUCACCAAAACAGAGAUUAAGGAACAAAAACACAGAUGACAACAACCUGUGGAAUACAUAUACGCUGAGAGAGAACUCUGUAAUGCAUUGUUGACAUAGAGUGCCCAUAGACUUUACACAACACAGAGAAAUCUUGUAGAUGAUGAGCUGAGGAACUCUGUUGAUCCUCAUAGAGUCUUGGAUGGGUGAUGAGUAAGCUUAUAAUGAAAAGUAGGCAUCUCGAAGUAUUUGCGAAGU